rnacentral:miRNA from 1 species
GGAUGCCCAGUUAAAUUUGAAUUUUAGAUAAUAAAUAAUUUUUAGUAUAAAUAUGUCCCACGUAAUAUUUGGAACAUACUUAUACUAAAAAUAAAUACUUGUUGUUUAUCUGAUAUUUGUAUU